rnacentral:rRNA from 1 species
UACGUAGGGUGCGAGCGUUUGUCCGGAAUUAUUGGGCGUAAAGAGCUUGUAGGCGGUUUGUCGCGUCUGCUGUGAAAAUCCGGGGCUCAACCCCGGACUUGCAGUGGGUACGGGGCAGACUAGAGUGUGGUAGGGGGAGACUGGAAUUCCUGGUGUAGCGGUGGAAUGCGCAGAUAUCAGGAGGAACACCGAUGGCGAAGGCAGGUCUCUGGGCCACUACUGACGCUGAGGAGCGAAAGCGUGGGGAGCGAACAGG